CAGUCGAAAUGGAGAUUUAGACCCAGAAAGACAUUCACUGUCCAAGUGCCAGGCAACUCUAUACCAUUCACA